UACAGAGGUCCCAAGCGUUGUUCGGAUUCACUGGGCGUAAAGGGUGCGUAGGCGGUCGGGUAAGUCUGACGUGAAAUCUCCAAGCUCAACUUGGAAAUGGCGUCGGAUACUAUUCGGCUCGAGGAGUGGAGGGGAGACUGGAAUUCUCGGUGUAGCAGUGAAAUGCGUAGAUAUCGAGAGGAACACCAGUGGCGAAGGCGAGUCUCUGGACACUUCCUGACGCUGAGGCACGAAAGCCAGGGGAGCAAACGGG
rnacentral:rRNA from 1 species